CUUGGAGCUGGAGUUGAACCAGCGACCUUUGGACUACAGCGUUUCAGGAAUUUCUUACAGUCCUCUGCUCUACCAACUGAGCUAUGAAGCUGCUUAUAUAUACAAAUGCAGAAAACAUAGUGGCUUCGGUGACACACUUUGCCAACAAUACAAUAGGACGCACAUGGUCAACGAAAAAGGUUGAACAGUGCAUAGACCAAUGAAAUCUAGUGUUUGGAGCAGGAGUUGAACCAGCGACCUUUGGACCACAGCGUUUCAGGAACUUCUUAAAGUCAUGUGCUCUACCAACUGAGCUAUGAAGGUGCUUAUAGAUACAAACGCAGAAAACAUAGUGGCUUCGGCGACACACUUUGCCAACAAUACAAUUGGACCCACAUGGUCAAUGAAAAAGGUUGAACAGUGCAUAUACCAAUGAAAUCUGGUGUUUGGAGCAGGAGUUGAACCAGCGACCUUUGGACCACAGCGUUUCAGAAACUUCUUAAAGUCCUCUGCUCUACCAACUGAGCUAUGAAGGUGCUUAUAGAUACAAACGCAGAAAACAUAGUGGCUUCGGCGACACACUUUGCCAACAAUACAAUUGGACCCACAUGGUCAAUGAAAAAGGUUGAACAGUGCAUAUACCAAUGAAAUCUGGUGUUUGGAGCAGGAGUUGAACCAGCGACCUUUGGACCACAGGGUUUCAGGAACUUCUUAAAGUCAUGUGCUCUACCAACUGAGCUAUGAAGGUGCUUAUAGAUACAAACGCAGAAAACAUAGUGGCUUCGGCGACACACUUUGCCAACAAUACAAUUGGACCCACAUGGUCAAUGAAAAAGGUUGAACAGUGCAUAGACCAAUGAAAUCUGGUGUUUGGAGCUGGAGUUGAACCAGGCACCUUUGGACCACAGCGUUUCAGGAACUUCUUAAAGUCAUGUGCUCUACCAACUGAGCUAUGAAGGUGCUUAUAGAUACAAACGCAGAAAACAUAGUGGCUUUGGCGACACACUUUGCCAACAAUACAAUUGGACCCACAUGGUCAAUGAAAAAGGUUGAACAGUGCAUACACCAAUGAAAUCUAGUGUUUGGAGCAGGAGUUGAACCAGCGACCUUUGGACCACAGCGUUUCAGGAACUUCUUACAGUACUCUGCUCUA
rnacentral:lncRNA from 1 species